rnacentral:rRNA from 1 species
GGACCCGCACAAGCGGUGGAGCAUGUGGGUUAAUUCGAUGAUACGCGAAGAACCUUACCUACCCUUGAAAUCCCUAGAACCCUUCGUUAUGGAAGGGGUGCCUUCGGGAACUAGGUGACAGGUGCUGCAUGGCUGUCGUCAGCUCGUGUCGUGAGAUGUUGGGUUAAGUCCCAUAACGAGCGCAACCCUUAUCCUUAUUUGCCAGCGGUUCGGCCGGGAACUAUAAGGGGGACUGCCGGUGACAAACCGGAGGAAGGUGAGGACGACGUCAAGUCAUCAUGGCCCUUACGAGUAGGGCUACACACGUGCUACAAUGGGGAAUACAGACGGACGCUAAAGCGUGAGCUGGUGCUAAUCCUAAAAAUUUCUCGUAGUCCGGAUUGCAGUCUGCAACUCGACUGCAUGAAGUCGGAAUCGCUAGUAAUCG